AUUGAACGCUGGCGGCAGGCCUAACACAUGCAAGUCGAGCGGAGCGGCGGACGGGUGCGUAAUGCCUAGGAAUCUGCCUGGUAGUGGGGGAUAACGUCAGGAAACGGGAGCUAAUACCGAUUACUAUCAGAUGAGCCUAGGUCGGAUUAGCUAGUUGGUGGGGUAAAGGCAUACCAAGCCGACGCUCCGUAGCUGGUCUGAGAGGAUGAUCAGUCACACUGGAACUGAGACACGGUCCAGACUCCGACGGGAGGCAGCAAUGGGGAAUAUUGGACAAUGGGCGAAAGCCUGAUCCAGCCAUGCCGCGUGUGUGAAGAAGGUCUUCGGAUUGUAAAGCACUUUAAGUUGGGAGGCGUUACCAGCAGAAUAAGCACCGGCUAACUCCGUGCCAGCAGCCGCGGUAAUUC
rnacentral:rRNA from 1 species